rnacentral:rRNA from 1 species
UACAGAGGUCCCAAGCGUUGUUCGGAUUCACUGGGCGUAAAGGGUGCGUAGGUGGCGGAGCAAGUCGGACGUGAAAGCUCGGAGCUCAACUCCGAAAUGGCGUUGGAAACUGCUUUGCUUGAGGGUUGGAGGGGGGACUGGAAUGCUUGGUGUAGCAGUGAAAUGCGUAGAUAUCAAGCGGAACACCAGUGGCGAAGGCGAGUCCCUGGACAACACCUGACACUGAGGCACGAAAGCUAGGGGAGCAAACAGG